rnacentral:rRNA from 1 species
AGAGUUUGAUCCUGGCUCAGAUUGAACGCUGGCGGCAGGCCUAACACAUGCAAGUCGAACGGUAACAGGAAGCAGCUUGCUGCUUCGCUGACGAGUGGCGGACGGGUGAGUAAUGUCUGGGAAACUGCCUGAUGGAGGGGGAUAACUACUGGAAACGGUAGCUAAUACCGCAUAACGUCGCAAGACCAAAGAGGGGGACC